GACGAACGCUGGCGGCGUGCUUAACACAUGCAAGUCGAACGGAAAGGCCCUUCGGGGUACUCGAGUGGCGAACGGGUGAGUAACACGUGGGUGAUCUGCCCUGCACUUUGGGAUAAGCCUGGGAAACUGGGUCUAAUACCGAAUAGGACCGCAUGCUUCAUGGUGUGUGGUGGAAAGCUUUUGCGGUGUGGGAUGGGCCCGCGGCCUAUCAGCUUGUUGGUGGGGUAAUGGCCUACCAAGGCGACGACGGGUAGCCGGCCUGGGAGGGUGACCGGCCACACUGGGACUGGGAUACGGCCCAGACUCCUACGGGAGGCAGCAGUGGGGAAUAUUGCACAAUGGGCGCAAGCCUGAUGCAGCGACGCCGCGUGAGGGAUGACGGCCUUCGGGUUGUAAACCUCUUUCAGCAGGGACGAAGCGCAAGUGACGGUACCUGCAGAAGAAGGACCGGCCAACUACGUGCCAGCAGCCGCAGUAA
rnacentral:rRNA from 1 species